AGUAACCUGCCCCUGACUCUGGGAUAAGCCCGGGAAACUGGGUCUAAUACCGGAUACGACACCUCCUGGCAUCGGGUGGGUGUGGAAAGUUUUUUCGGUUGGGGAUGGACUCGCGGCCUAUCAGCUUGUUGGUGGGGUAACGGCCUACCAAGGCGACGACGGGUAGCCGGCCUGAGAGGGCGACCGGCCACACUGGGACUGAGACACGGCCCAGACUCCUACGGGAGGCAGCAGUGGGGAAUAUUGCGCAAUGGGCGAAAGCCUGACGCAGCGACGCCGCGUGGGGGAUGACGGCCUUCGGGUUGUAAACCUCUUUCAGCAGGGACGAAGUUGACGUGUACCUGCAGAAGAAGCGCCGGCUAACUACGUGCCAGCAGCCGCGGUAAUACGUAGGGCGCAAGCGUUGUCCGGAAUUAUUGGGCGUAAAGAGCUCGUAGGUGGCUUGUCACGUCGGGUGUGAAAGCUUGGGGCUUAACUCCAGGUCUGCAUUCGAUACGGGCUGGCUAGAGGUAGGUAGGGGAGAACGGAAUUCCUGGUGUAGCGGUGAAAUGCGCAGAUAUCAGGAGGAACACCGGUGGCGAAGGCGGUUCUCUGGGCCUUACCUGACGCUGAGGAGCGAAAGCGUGGGGAGCG
rnacentral:rRNA from 1 species